rnacentral:rRNA from 1 species
AUUGAACGCUGGCGGCAGGCCUAACACAUGCAAGUCGAGCGAGCGGCGGACGGGUGAGGAAGGUAUGGGGACCGUGCGUUAGAGGGGGAUAACAACGGGAAACGGCAGCGAAAACCGCACACUAGCGGAUAACCCAUAUGGGAUUAGCUAGUAGGUGAGGUAAUGGCUCACCUAGGCGACGAUCCCUAGCUGGUCUGAGAGGAGGAUCAGCCACACUGGGACUGAGACACGGCCCAGACUCCUACGGAGGCAGCAGUGGGGAAUAUUGCACAAUGGGCGCAAGCCUGAUGCAGCCAUGCCGCGUGUAUGAAGAAGGCCCUAGGGUUGUAAAGUACUUUCAGUCGGGAGGCGUUACCGACAGAAGAAGCACCGGCUAACUCCGUGCCAGCAGCCGCGGUAAUAC